UACGUAGGGUCCGAGCGUUGUCCGGAACUAUUGGGCGUAAAGAGCUCGUAGGCGGUUUGUCGCGUCUGCUGUGAAAUCCCGAGGCUCAACCUCGGGCCUGCAGUGGGUACGGGCAGACUGGAGUGCGGUAGGGGAGAAUGGAAUUCCUGGUGUAGCGGUGGAAUGCGCAGAUAUCAGGAGGAACACCGAUGGCGAAGGCAGUUCUCUGGGCCGUAACUGACGCUGAGGAGCGAAAGCGUGGGGAGCGAACAGG
rnacentral:rRNA from 1 species